rnacentral:rRNA from 1 species
GAUGAACGCUAGCGGCAGGCUUAAUACAUGCAAGUCGAGGGGCAGCAUGGUGUAGCAAUACACUGAUGGCGACCGGCAAACGGGUGCGGAACACGUACGCAACUUACCCAAAACUGGGGAAUAGCCCGGGGAAACCCGGAUUAAUACCUCGUAACAUAAUGAAGUGGCAUCACUUUAUUAUUAUAGCUCCGGCGGUUUUGGAGGGGCGUGCGCCUGAUUAGGUAGUUGGCGGGGUAAUAGCCCACCAAGCCUACGAUCAGUAACUGGUGUGAGAGCACGACCAGUCACACGGGCACUGAGACACGGGCCCGACUCCUACGGGAGGCAGCAGUAAGGAAUAUUGGUCAAUGGACGCAAGUCUGAACCAGCCAUGCCGCGUGAAGGAUGAAGGUCCUCUGGAUUGUAAACUUCUUUUAUAUGGGAAGAAAUCCAUCUUUUCUUGGGUGGUUGACGGUACCAUAAGAAUAAGCACCGGCUAACUCCGUGCCAGCCGCCGCGGUAACAC